rnacentral:rRNA from 1 species
AGAUGUGGGUAGUCCGCACGAGCGCACCUCACUUUUAGUUGCCAUCAUCAAGUUGGGCACUCUGAAAGAACUGCCAGUGAUAAGCUGGAGGAAGGUGGGGAUGACGUCAAGUCCUCAUGGCCCUUACGUGUUGGGCUACACACGUGCUACAAUGGUAUCUACAACAGGAAGCAAAACGGCAACGUUAAGCAAAUCCCGAAAAGAUACCUCAGUUCGGAUUGCACUCUGCAACUCGAGUGCAUGAAGCUGGAAUUACUAGUAAUCGUGGAUCAGCGUGCCACGGUGAAUGCGUUCCCGGGUCUUGUACACACCGCCCGUCACACCAUGGGAGUUGGUUCUACCUUAAGGCAAGGUUUUAAACCCUUGACCACGGUAUAGUCAGCGACUGGGGUGAAGUCGUAACAAGGUAGCCGUAGGGGAACCUGCGGCUGGAUUACCUCCUUUCU